UAGGGAAUCUUCCACAAUGGACGCAAGUCUGAUGGAGCAACGCCGCGUGAGUGAAGAAGGUUUUCGGAUCGUAAAGCUCUGUUGUUGGUGAAGAAGGAUAGAGGCAGUAACUGGUCUUUAUUUGACGGUAAUCAACCAGAAAGUCACGGCUAACUACGUGCCAGCAGCCGCGGUAAUACGUAGGUGGCAAGCGUUGUCCGGAUUUAUUGGGCGUAAAGCGAGCGCAGGCGGAAUGAUAAGUCUGAUGUGAAAGCCCACGGCUCAACCGUGGAACUGCAUCGGAAACUGUCAUUCUUGAGUGCAGAAGAGGAGAGUGGAAUUCCAUGUGUAGCGGUGGAAGGCGUAGAUAUAUGGAAGAACACCAGUGGCGAAGGCGGCUCUCUGGUCUGCAACUGACGCUGAGGCUCGAAAGCAUGGGUAGCGAACAGG
rnacentral:rRNA from 1 species